UGCUGAUCAAACAAACUACCAUUGGGGAG
rnacentral:piRNA from 1 species